rnacentral:tRNA from 1 species
GGGUGGGUGGUUUGGUGGUUAGAGCCUAGGGUUUGUGACCGGAAGGUCCCGAGUUCGAAUCUCCCAAUAGG